UCUUCUUCCUCAAACGGAAAAACCCCCCCCAAUUUUUUCUUCUUCUUUCCUCCUAAACCCACGAACACCGUUUCCCUAAUUGCCCAGUUUUCACCGCCACGUCUCCCUCGCUACCAUUCCGAACGACGUGCGCCUCCCUCACCGCCAUUCAGAUCCGAACGCCAUGCUUCCUUCACUGUCUCAUCAAACCUGCCGCCGCGCGAGAGAGAUUCCUCGUCAAUCACAGCACCUCACCGACUCAAAUCUGUCCAACUGCCGUUCCCUCGCACCUCCCAGCUCAGAUUCGACCAGCUGCCGCUUCUUCACACUUCGCCAGACCCAGAACCGUCGUCGGCCGUCUUCCUUGUUGCAGUCGGACUAGUUCUAGGUGAGUUUUAGAGAAACUUGGAAUUUAGAGGGAGCACCGUUAUGGGAAAUUGGAAAUGACCUUCAUCCUUUGGUGUUAGGGCCGCUACUUCUAGUUGCCGUUAUAGUUUGGUCAUCGGAGCUUCGUUGUCCAUAAAGUUUCGAUUGAGGAAAAGGUAAAGAUGUACCGGCAAUGGUGCAACGGAAUUCGUGAUCAUGUUACUGGAACUAGACCUUUUCGCUUCCGC